rnacentral:rRNA from 1 species
AGUGAACGCUGGCGGUAGGCCUAACACAUGCAAGUCGAACGGCAGCACAGUAAGAGCUUGCUCUUACGGGUGGCGAGUGGCGGACGGGUGAGGAAUACAUCGGAAUCUACUUUUUCGUGGGGGAUAACGUAGGGAAACUUACGCUAAUACCGCAUACUACCUACGGGUGAAAGCAGGGGAUCUUCGGACCUUGCGCGAUUCAAUGAGCCGAUGUCGGAUUAGCUAGUUGGCGGGGUAAGGGCCCACCAAGGCGACGAUCCGUAGCUGGUCUGAGAGGAUGAUCAGCCACACUGGAACUGAGACACGGUCCAGACUCCUACGGGAGGCAGCAGAGGGGAAUAUUCGACAAUGGGGGCAAGCCUGCUCCAGCCAUACCGCGUGGGUGAAGAAGGCCUUCGGGUUGUAAAGCCCUUUUGUUGGGAAGGAAAAGCAGCAGGUUAAUACCCCGCUGUUCUGACGGUACCCAAAGAAUAAGCACCGGCUAACUUCGUG